rnacentral:rRNA from 1 species
AACGAACGCUGGCGGCAGGCCUAACACAUGCAAGUCGAACGCCCCGCAAGGGGAGUGGCAGACGGGUGAGUAACGCGUGGGAACGUACCCUUCGGUUCGGAAUAACCCGGGGAAACUCGGGCUAAUACCGGAUACGUCCGCAAGGAGAAAGAUUUAUCGCCGAAGGAUCGGCCCGCGUCGGAUUAGCUAGUUGGUGGGGUAAUGGCCCACCAAGGCGACGACCCGUAGCUGGUCUGAGAGGAUGAUCAGCCACACUGGGACUGAGACACGGCCCAGACUCCUACGGGAGGCAGCAGUGGGGAAUAUUGGACAAUGGGCGAAAGCCUGAUCCAGCCAUGCCGCGUGAGUGAAGAAGGCCUUAGGGUUGUAAAGCUCUUUCAGCGGGGAAGAUAAUGACGGUACCCGCAGAAGAAGCCCCGGCUAACUUCGUGCCAGCCCGCCGCGGUAAU